rnacentral:rRNA from 1 species
UCAGGCCUAACACAUGCAAGUCGAACGGCAGCACGGACUUCGGUCUGGUGGCGAGUGGCGAACGGGUGAGUAAUACAUCGGAACGUGCCCAGUCGUGGGGGAUAACGUAGCGAAAGCUACGCUAAUACCGCAUACGAUCUAAGGAUGAAAGCGGGGGAUCGCAAGACCUCGCGCGAUUGGAGCGGCCGAUGGCAGAUUAGGUAGUUGGUGGGGUAAAGGCUCACCAAGCCGACGAUCUGUAGCUGGUCUGAGAGGACGACCAGCCACACUGGGACUGAGACACGGCCCAGACUCCUACGGGAGGCAGCAGUGGGGAAUUUUGGACAAUGGGCGCAAGCCUGAUCCAGCCAGUCCGCGUGCAGGAUGAAGGCCCUCGGGUU